AACGAACGCUGGCGGCAUGCCUAACACAUGCAAGUCGAACGAGACCUUCGGGUCUAGUGGCGCACGGGUGCGUAACGCGUGGGAACCUGCCCUUAGGUUCGGAAUAACUCCCCGAAAGGGGUGCUAAUACCGGAUAAUGUCUUCGGACCAAAGAUUUAUCGCCUUUGGAUGGGCCCGCGUUGGAUUAGCUAGUUGGUAGGGUAAAAGCCUACCAAGGCGACGAUCCAUAGCUGGUCUGAGAGGAUGAUCAGCCACACUGGGACUGAGACACGGCCCAGACUCCUACGGGAGGCAGCAGUGGGGAAUAGUGGACAAUGGGCGAAAGCCUGAUCCAGCAAUGCCGCGUGAGUGAUGAAGGCCGUAGGGUUGUAAAGCUCUUUUACCCGGGAUGAUAAUGACAGUACCGGGAGAAUAAGCUCCGGCUAACUCCGUG
rnacentral:rRNA from 1 species